rnacentral:rRNA from 1 species
GAUGAACGCUGGCGGCGUGCCUAAUACAUGCAAGUCGAGCGAACAGACGAGGAGCUUGCUCCUCUGACGUUAGCGGCGGACGGGUGAGUAACACGUGGAUAACCUACCUAUAAGACUGGGAUAACUUCGGGAAACCGGAGCUAAUACCGGAUAAUAUAUUGAACCGCAUGGUUCAAUAGUGAAAGACGGUUUUGCUGUCACUUAUAGAUGGAUCCGCGCCGCAUUAGCUAGUUGGUAAGGUAACGGCUUACCAAGGCAACGAUGCGUAGCCGACCUGAGAGGGUGAUCGGCCACACUGGAACUGAGACACGGUCCAGACUCCUACGGGAGGCAGCAGUAGGGAAUCUUCCGCAAUGGGCGAAAGCUUGACGGAGCAACGCCGCGUGAGCGAUGAAGGUCUUCGGAUCGUAAAACUCUGUUAUUAGGGAAGAACAAAUGUGUAAGUAACUAUGCACGUCUUGACGGUACCUAACCAGAAAGCCACGGCUAACUACGUG